rnacentral:rRNA from 1 species
GUUGGUGGGGUAACGGCUCACCAAGGCGACGAUCCCUAGCUGGUCUGAGAGGAUGACCAGCCACACUGGAACUGAGACACGGUCCAGACUCCUACGGGAGGCAGCAGUGGGGAAUAUUGCACAAUGGGCGCAAGCCUGAUGCAGCCAUGCCGCGUGUAUGAAGAAGGCCUUCGGGUUGUAAAGUACUUUCAGCGGGGAGGAAGGGAGUAAAGUUAAUACCUUUGCUCAUUGACGUUACCCGCAGAAGAAGCACCGGCUAACUCCGUGCCAGCAGCCGCGGUAAUACGGAGGGUGCAAGCGUUAAUCGGAAUUACUGGGCGUAAAGCGCACGCAGGCGGUUUGUUAAGUCAGAUGUGAAAUCCCCGGGCUCAACCU